rnacentral:sRNA from 1 species
UGCUAUGAUUUUUGCGCAGUUUUCGUGCGGUUUUCGGAGCUAAAGGACGCAGCAGCGGUAGCAACAGCAGCAGGAGCAGAAAAAGCAACCGAAGAGGCAGCGCGAUAAAGAAUAGCAAAGGAGUUGUGUUUUUUGCAGUGUGGCGUGUGAGAAACAAUUGAAAACAAUCUUUUGUGCGAGAUAGAAACGCGUGUUGAAAAAGUGCUCCAUCAAGAAUAAGAAAAUUAAAGCCUGUGAGAAGGUGAAAAAACGGGCAGGUGAGGGGGCUCUAGAGCUCUGCAAGGACCCUUGGAUUACCUUGCGGGGCAAGCGGAAUCAGCCAGCGAGUUCGCCGCCGGGCGGAACUCCGGCAGAAGCUGAACAAGAGACAGCGAGAGACAAGGCAGAAGAAGCCAAGCGCGAAGCAGAUCAGAUCCACAAGAAAAGGGACA